AACAAAGUGGCUGCAAAA
rnacentral:snRNA from 1 species